rnacentral:rRNA from 1 species
CUCAGUUCGGAUUGAAGGCUGAAAUUGCCUACAUGAAGUUGGAAUUGCUAGUAAUGGCAGGUCAGCAUACUGCCGUGAAUACGUCCCCGGGCCUUGUACACACCGCCCGUCACACCAUGAGAGUUGGAGAUACCCGAAGCCUGUGAGCUAACUUUUUAAGAGGCAGCAGUCGAAGGUAGAAUCAAUGAUUGGGGUGAAGUCGUAACAAGGUAGC